rnacentral:rRNA from 1 species
UUCCUACGGGAGGCAGCAGUGAGGAAUAUUGGUCAAUGGGCGAGAGCCUGAACCAGCCAAGUCGCGUGAAGGAUGACGGCCCUACGGGUUGUAAACCUCUUUUGUCAGGGAGCAAUUGGCGCUACGUGUAGCGUUAUCGAGAGUACCUGAAGAAAAAGCAUCGGCUAACUCCGUGCCAGCAGCCGCGGUAAUACGGAGGAUGCGAGCGUUAUCCGGAUUUAUUGGGUUUAAAGGGUGCGUAGGCGGAAUGCCAAGUCAGCGGUAAAAUCGCGGGGCUCAACCUCGCUCCGCCGUUGAAACUGGCG